GGUGGGGUGUUAGAGCGGUUGAAUAAGCUAGUCUUGAAAACUAGUAUGGUCGCAAGACCAUCGUGAGUUCGAAUCUCACCCCCACCG
rfam:Microgenomates (Gottesmanbacteria) bacterium GW2011_GWA2_47_9 TY16_C0073, whole genome shotgun sequence.